UUGGUUCACACUAUCGUGAUUAAAAGGGAAACGGGUGAGAAUCCCGUACAGUCCCGCUGCUGUGAGCUGUCAUUUUUGAGAAAGAUAAAUAAACCACUGGCACAAUUUUUCAGCCGGGAAGGUAAUCUUUCUUAAGACAGCAAAGUCAGAAGACCUGCCGUCAGCUU
rnacentral:ncRNA from 1 species